rnacentral:rRNA from 1 species
GGGGGCCUCUGGGGUCACCUCCCACCCGUGUUUAUUUUACCUUGUUGCUUCGGCGGGCCCGCCUUAACUGGCCGCCGGGGGGCUUACGCCCCCGGGCCCGCGCCCGCCGAAGACACCCUCGAACUCUGUCUGAAGAUUGUAGUCUGAGUGAAAAUAUAAAUUAUUUAAAACUUUCAACAACGGAUCUCUUGGUUCCGGCAUCGAUGAAGAACGCAGCGAAAUGCGAUACGUAAUGUGAAUUGCAAAUUCAGUGAAUCAUCGAGUCUUUGAACGCACAUUGCGCCCCCUGGUAUUCCGGGGGGCAUGCCUGUCCGAGCGUCAUUUCUGCCCUCAAGCACGGCUUGUGUGUUGGGCCCCGUCCUCCGAUCCCGGGGGACGGGCCCGAAAGGCAGCGGCGGCACCGCGUCCGGUCCUCGAGCGUAUGGGGCUUUGUCACCCGCUCUGUAGGCCCGGCCGGCGCUUGCCGAUCAACCCAAAUUUUUAUCCAGGUUGACCUCGGAUCAGGUAGGGAUACCCGCUGAACUUAAGCAUAUCAAUAAGGCGGAGGAA